UUCCCCUCCUUCUCCAGAACCCAGUCUCCUAGCAACAGGCCGGCAUUCAUUCAGAGAGGAACCUUUGCAGUGCUUCCAGCACUUCAGUCCUGACAUCCCAGGAAAGGAGAACUGAAGAUAAUUGCCUGGGGAUAUAUUUAGGCCUAAUAAUGACACCUUCCCAAGACUGCUGUACUGUUUACCAAAUGCACAUUGACACUUUAACAAACCAGAGUAUACACUUUUGAAUACUUAAGAUAGUCCCAACCAAAGGAAGAUUUUCUUUACAGCAGAAAGUCUCUAAUAAGUAAUAUAGUCGAUAAGGAAAUUUGCUGAAGGUGAAUUAUUGCUGGGGCGAAGAAUUCUAGAGGAGUUGCACCAGGAAGUAAGCCAAAGAAAGAGACUGAAUCUUGAGCCCCUCCCCUACACUACUUCCUGUUUCUUUUCCCCACUGUCGGGAUGAAGAUCUUCUCACAGAUGUAUAGGUAGAAGGCAAUGGCCAGAGAGGAGAUGAAGGGCUCUGUCUUCCACCUUCAGGCAGAAACAGCUAAGAAGAAUGAAGUCUCAGACAGCUGGAGCCUCCUAACUGCUUCCUUCAAGGUUCCAUUGGAAGUCUCUCCUCCUCCGCUGAUUUGUGUUCCAAAAGUUCUGAACUCCUUUGCUUUGCAGAUCCAUUUUGCUUUGCCCAAAAUAUUUUCAUUUACAGGAAACUUGAUUCCCAUCAAGAGGGAAAAUAAGAAGCUGGAACCACAAGGCUGGCCCUUCUGCUCUCCUUAAACAGGAACUUCUCCCUAAAGAGAAUCUAGAGCUAUGUGUCUUCUUUCUGGAAGCUAGAGGCCAAAAGACACUUCUCUCAACAUUCUGCCAACUCUGCAUCUCAUGCAGGCUUAGGGAAUUAAGUACCAAUCUCUACCAAUGAAGAGAAAUGUACACAUGUGGGCUUUGAUAAGUGGAUUACAUCAGUGAGACUUUACAAGCAUUCUAAUGGAAAAGACCAAACUAACUUGUCUAUUACCGCUUUAUUCAGAGCUGCUGCAUAGUCUUCUAGAUUUUAUGAAGGUUUUCUUUAAGAGAAACUUUUGUUUCUGCCUGGGGAAGCAUCCAUUUCCUGUGAUAAAAUUCACAUUGUUACAGUCCACACCUAUGUAUGCACAAGGAAGAUAAUUAAUCUGUAAAAAUUGUCUUAGGAGAGCGCAUACUCAGUCCUGCACAAGGCAAGAAAGGCACUGACCUUUGAUCCCAACAUUCCUAAGGUUUAGGCACAAACUCAGGUUUCUUUGUCCUCACCUGGCUGAGACAAUCCACACCUCUGCCUUGUUGUAAUGUACACCUGAACCAAUGGCAAUCCACUGUGUCUUCAUUAAUAUGUAUUACAUACCUUUGCAUCACAAUGUCAAUAAAUACAAGCAGCUCACAGCA
rnacentral:lncRNA from 1 species